ACGGGAGGCAGCAGUGGGGGAUAUUGCACAAUGGGCGCAAGCCUGAUGCAGCGAUGCCGCGUGAGGGAAGAAGGUUUUCGGAUUGUAAACCUCUGUUAACAGGGACGAAAAUGACGGUACAUGUGAAGGAAGCUCCGGCUAAAUACGUGCCAGAAGCCGCGGUAAUACGUAGGGAGCAAGCGUUAUCCGGAAUUACUGGGUGUAAAGGGAGUGUAGGCGGGACUGUAAGUCAGAUGUGAAAUAUGCCGGCUCAACUUGCAGACUGCAUUUGAAACUGCGGUUCUUGAGUGAAGUAGAGGUAAGCGGAAUUCCUAGUGUAGCGGUGAAAUGCGUAGAUAUUAGGAGGAACACCAGUGGCGAAGGCGGCUUACUGGGCUUUAACUGACGCUGAGGCUCGAAAGCGUGGGGAGCAAACAGGAUUAGAUACCCUGGUA
rnacentral:rRNA from 1 species